CACGCCCUAAACGAUGCGAACUGGAUGUUGGGCUCAACUUGGAGCUCAGUAUCGAAGCUAACGCGUUAAGUUCGCCGCCUGGGGAGUACGGUCGCAAGACUGAAACUCAAAGGAAUUGAC
rnacentral:rRNA from 1 species